GAAAUGCGCAGAGAUAUGGAGGAACACCAGUGGCGAAGGCGACUUUCUGGUCUGUAACUGACGCUGAUGUGCGAAAGCGUGGGGAUCAAACAGGAUUAGAUCCCCUGGUAGUCCACGCCGUAAACGAUGAGUGCUAAGUGUUAGGGGGUUUCCGCCCCUUAGUGCUGCAGCUAACGCAUUAAGCACUCCGCCUGGGGAGUACGACCGC
rnacentral:rRNA from 1 species